rnacentral:tRNA from 1 species
GCCGAGGUGGCGGAAUUGGCAGACGCGCACGACUCAAAAUCGUGUAAGGCUAAUACCUUGUGAGGGUUCGACUCCCUCCCCCGGCA